GGGUUGUGAGGUUAAGCGACUAAGCGUACACGGUGGAUGCCCUGGCAGUCAGAGGCGAUGAAGGACGUGCUAAUCUGCGAAAAGCGACGGCGAGGUGAUAUGAACCUUUGACCCGUCGAUGUCCGAAUGGGGAAACCCAGUGUGUUCCGACACACUAUCGUUAACUGAAUACAUAGGUUAACGAGGCGAACCGGGGGAACUGAAACAUCUAAGUACCCCGAGGAAAAGAAAUCAACCGAGAUUCCCCCAGUAGCGGCGAGCGAACGGGGAGCAGCCCGGAGUCUGAAUCAGCUUGUGUGUUAGUGGAACGGUCUGGAAAGUCCGACGGUACAGGGUGAUAGUCCCGUACACGAAAAUGCACAUGCUGUGAACUCGAAGAGUAGGGCGGGACACGUGGUAUCCUGUCUGAAUAUGGGGGGACCAUCCUCCAAGGCUAAAUACUCCUGACUGACCGAUAGUGAACCAGUACCGUGAGGGAAAGGCGAAAAGAACCCCGGCGAGGGGAGUGAAAAAGAACCUGAAACCGUGUACGUACAAGCAGUGGGAGCCUCUUUAUGGGGUGACUGCGUACCUUUUGUAUAAUGGGUCAGCGACUUAUAUUCUGUAGCAAGGUUAACCGUAUAGGGGAGCCGAAGGGAAACCGAGUCUUAACUGGGCGUUAAGUUGCAGGGUAUAGACCCGAAACCCGGUGAUCUAGCCAUGGGCAGGUUGAAGGUUGGGUAACACUAACUGGAGGACCGAACCGACUAAUGUUGAAAAAUUAGCGGAUGACCUGUGGCUGGGGGUGAAAGGCCAAUCAAACCGGGAGAUAGCUGGUUCUCCCCGAAAGCUAUUUAGGUAGCGCCUCGUGAACUCAUCUUCGGGGGUAGAGCACUGUUUCGGCUAGGGGGCCAUCCCGGCUUACCAACCCGAUGCAAACUACGAAUACCGAAGAAUGUUAUCACGGGAGACACACGGCGGGUGCUAACGUCCGUCGUGAAGAGGGAAACAACCCAGACCGCCAGCUAAGGUCCCAAAGUCAUGGUUAAGUGGGAAACGAUGUGGGAAGGCACAGACAGCCAGGAUGUUGGCUUAGAAGCAGCCAUCAUUUAAAGAAAGCGUAAUAGCUCACUGGUCGAGUCGGCCUGCGCGGAAGAUGUAACGGGGCUAAACCAUGCACCGAAGCUGCGGCAGCGACACUAUGUGUUGUUGGGUAGGGGAGCGUUCUGUAAGCCGUUGAAGGUGUGCUGUGAGGCAUGCUGGAGGUAUCAGAAGUGCGAAUGCUGACAUAAGUAACGAUAAAGCGGGUGAAAAGCCCGCUCGCCGGAAGACCAAGGGUUCCUGUCCAACGUUAAUCGGGGCAGGGUGAGUCGACCCCUAAGGCGAGGCCGAAAGGCGUAGUCGAUGGGAAACAGGUUAAUAUUCCUGUACUUGGUGUUACUGCGAAGGGGGGACGGAGAAGGCUAUGUCAGCCGGGCGACGGUUGUCCCGGUUUAAGCAUGUAGGCGGAGGUUCCAGGUAAAUCCGGUACCUUUUAACGCUGAGGUGUGAUGACGAGGCACUACGGUGCUGAAGUGAUAAAUGCCCUGCUUCCAGGAAAAGCCUCUAAGCAUCAGGUAACACGAAAUCGUACCCCAAACCGACACAGGUGGUCAGGUAGAGAAUACCAAGGCGCUUGAGAGAACUCGGGUGAAGGAACUAGGCAAAAUGGUGCCGUAACUUCGGGAGAAGGCACGCUGAUAUGUAGGUGAAGCCCCUGCGGGCGGAGCUGAAAUCAGUCGAAGAUACCAGCUGGCUGCAACUGUUUAUUAAAAACACAGCACUGUGCAAACACGAAAGUGGACGUAUACGGUGUGACGCCUGCCCGGUGCCGGAAGGUUAAUUGAUGGGGUUAGCGGCAACGCGAAGCUCUUGAUCGAAGCCCCGGUAAACGGCGGCCGUAACUAUAACGGUCCUAAGGUAGCGAAAUUCCUUGUCGGGUAAGUUCCGACCUGCACGAAUGGCGUAAUGAUGGCCAGGCUGUCUCCACCCGAGACUCAGUGAAAUUGAACUCGCUGUGAAGAUGCAGUGUACCCGCGGCAAGACGGAAAGACCCCGUGAACCUUUACUAUAGCUUGACACUGAACACUGGUCCUUGAUGUGUAGGAUAGGUGGGAGGCUUUGAAGCGUGGACGCCAGUCUGCGUGGAGCCGCCCUUGAAAUACCACCCUUUAAUGGCUGGUGUUCUAACGUAGACCCGUGAUCCGGGUUGCGGACAGUGUCUGGUGGGUAGUUUGACUGGGGCGGUCUCCUCCCAAAGAGUAACGGAGGAGCACGAAGGUUGGCUAAUCCUGGUCGGACAUCAGGAGGUUAGUGCAAUGGCAUAAGCCAGCUUGACUGCGAGCGUGACGGCGCGAGCAGGUGCGAAAGCAGGUCAUAGUGAUCCGGUGGUUCUGAAUGGAAGGGCCAUCGCUCAACGGAUAAAAGGUACUCCGGGGAUAACAGGCUGAUACCGCCCAAGAGUUCAUAUCGACGGCGGUGUUUGGCACCUCGAUGUCGGCUCAUCACAUCCUGGGGCUGAAGUAGGUCCCAAGGGUAUGGCUGUUCGCCAUUUAAAGUGGUACGCGAGCUGGGUUUAGAACGUCGUGAGACAGUUCGGUCCCUAUCUGCCGUGGGCGCUGGAGAAUUGAGGGGGGCUGCUCCUAGUACGAGAGGACCGGAGUGGACGCAUCACUGGUGUUCGGGUUGUCAUGCCAAUGGCACUGCCCGGUAGCUAAAUGCGGAAGAGAUAAGUGCUGAAAGCAUCUAAGCACGAAACUUGCCCCGAGAUGAGUUCUCCCUGAGACUUUAAGUCUCCUGAAGGAACGUUGAAGACGACGACGUUGAUAGGUCGGGUGUGUAAGCGCAGCGAUGCGUUGAGCUAACCGAUACUAAUGAACCGUGAGGCUUAACCUUACAACGCCGAAGGUGUUU
rnacentral:rRNA from 3 species